UGGCUCAGAUUGAACGCUGGCGGCGUGCUUAACACAUGCAAGUCGAACGCGAACGGGGCUUCGGCCCCAAGUAGAGUGGCGCACGGGUGAGUAACGCGUGGACAAUCUGCCCUUAUGACUGGAAUAACAGUUGGAAACGGCUGCUAAUACCGGAUACGCUCAGGAAGAACUUUUUUGAGGAAAGGCGGCCUCUGCUUGCAAGCUGUCGCAUAAGGAUGAGUCCGCGUCCCAUUAGCUAGUUGGCGGGGUAACGGCCCACCAAGGCAACGAUGGGUAGCCGAUUUGAGAGGAUGAUCGGCCACACUGGGACUGAAACACGGCCCAGACUCCUACGGGAGGCAGCAGUGGGGAAUAUUGCGCAAUGGGCGAAAGCCUGACGCAGCGACGCCGCGUGAGGGAUAGAAGGUUUUCGGAUCGUAAACCUCUGUCAGAAGGGAAGAAACUGCCGUGCUCUAAUCAUCAUGGCAUUGACGGUACCUUACAAAGGAAGCACCGGCUAACUCCGUGCCAGCCGCUGC
rnacentral:rRNA from 1 species